AGAGUUUGAUCAUGGCUCAGGACGAACGCUGGCGGCGCGCCUAACACAUGCAAGUCGAACGAGCGAGAGAGAGCUUGCUUUCUCGAGCGAGUGGCGAACGGGUGAGUAACGCGUGAGGAACCUGCCUCAAAGAGGGGGACAACAGUUGGAAACGACUGCUAAUACCGCAUAAGCCCACGACCCGGCAUCGGGUAGAGGGAAAAGGAGCAAUCCGCUUUGAGAUGGCCUCGCGUCCGAUUAGCUAGUUGGUGAGGUAACGGCCCACCAAGGCGACGAUCGGUAGCCGGACUGAGAGGUUGAACGGCCACAUUGGGACUGAGACACGGCCCAGACUCCUACGGGAGGCAGCAGUGGGGAAUAUUGCACAAUGGGGGAAACCCUGAUGCAGCGACGCCGCGUGGAGGAAGAAGGUCUUCGGAUUGUAAACUCCUGUUGUUGAGGAAGAUAAUGACGGUACUCAACAAGGAAGUGACGGCUAACUACGUGCCAGCAGCCGCGGUAAAACGUAGGUCACAAGCGUUGUCCGGAAUUACUGGGUGUAAAGGGAGCGCAGGCGGGAAGACAAGUUGGAAGUGAAAUCCAUGGGCUCAACCCAUGAACUGCUUUCAAAACUGUUUUUCUUG
rnacentral:rRNA from 1 species